rnacentral:rRNA from 1 species
ACAUGCAGUCGUGACGGGCAUGAACGCGGUAGCUUGCUCCCGGAUGUUAGCGGCGGACGGGUGAGUAACACGUGGGUAACCUGCCUGUAAGACUGGGAUAACUCCGGGAAACCGGAGCUAAUACCGGAUAGUUCCUUGAACCGCAUGGUUCAAGGAUGAAAGACGGUUUCGGCUGUCACUUACAGAUGGACCCGCGGCGCAUUAGCUAGUUGGUGAGGUAACGGCUCACCAAGGCGACGAUGCGUAGCCGACCUGAGAGGGUGAUCGGCCACACUGGGACUGAGACACGGCCCAGACUCCUACGGGAGGCAGCAGUAGGGAAUCUUCCGCAAUGGACGAAAGUCUGACGGAGCAACGCCGCGUGAGUGAUGAAGGUUUUCGGAUCGUAAAGCUCUGUUGUUAGGGAAGAACAAGUGCAAGAGUAACUGCUUGCACCUUGACGGUACCUAACCAGAAAGCCACGGCUAACUACGUGCCAGCAGCCGC